AGCGUAUAUCAGCUCUUUGCCUA
rnacentral:siRNA from 1 species